UACAGAGGGUGCGAGCGUUGUUCGGAAUUAUUGGGCGUAAAGGGCGCGUAGGCGGUGCGGUAAGUCACCUGUGAAAUCUCCUGGCUCAACUGGGAGCUUGCAGGCGAAACUGCCGUGCUGGAGUGUGGGAGAGGUGCGUGGAAUUCCUGGUGUAGCGGUGAAAUGCGUAGAUAUCAGGAGGAACACCUGUGGCGAAAGCGGCGCACUGGACCACAACUGACGCUGAGGCACGAAGGCCAGGGGAGCAAACGGG
rnacentral:rRNA from 1 species